rnacentral:rRNA from 1 species
GAUGAACGCUGGCGGCGUGCCUAAUACAUGCAAGUCGAGCGAACGGACGAGAAGCUUGCUUCUCUGUUGUUAGCGGCGGACGGGUGAGUAACACGUGGAUAACCUACCUAUAAGACUGGGAUAACUUCGGGAAACCGGAGCUAAUACCGGAUAAUAUUUUGAACCGCAGGGUUCAAAAGUGAAAGACGGUCUUGCUGUCACUUAUAGAUGGAUCCGCGCUGCAUUAGGUAGUUGGUAAGGUAACGGCCUUCCAAGGCAACUAUGCAUAGCCGACCUGUGGGGGUGGUCGGCCACCCUGGAACUUAACCACGGUCCAGACUCCUACGGGAGGCCGCAGUCGGGAAUCUUCCGCAGAGGGCGGAAGCCUGACGGAGCAACGCCGCGUGAGUGAUGAAGGUCUUCGGAUCGUAAUACUCUGUUAUUAGUGAAGAACAUAUGUGUAAGUAACUGUGCACAUCUUGACGGUACCGAAUCAGAAAGCCACGGCUAACUACGUG